AUGGGCAAACCUGGGAGUCGGGAAAGAAACGCGGUAGAAAGCACACGAAGCUUAGAAAAUGAGUAAACAUUAUAAAGAAAAGUCGGCACUCUGUCUCCCCGCUCCCUUCGAUAGCUCAGCUGGUAGAGCGGAGGACUGUAGGCCCUGAUGUCCCUAGCCAUCCUUAGGUCGCUGGUUCGAUUCCGGCUCGAAGGAGAGUGUUUAUUAAUUUUUGUUACUUUGGCCUCAGCUGUGACGCAAGAUCAAGAACAUGAUUAAGAAAAACAUUUUUUCCAUUUCUAAAUGCUCUGACCUCUCUCUAGGGGAAGAGAUAACCGGCCGUGCCCAGCGGUGGGGGAUUAGCUCAAAUGGUAGAGCGCUCGCUUAGCAUGCGAGAGGUAGCGGGAUCGAUGCCCGCAUCCUCCAACCCUUUUCUCCUCAUUCCGUGUAGUAGUUUUUCUUUCGAUUCUCAUUCAACUCAAGUAGAACUUGAAAUCAGCUCUCAGGCAAGUGAGAGACAAGGCGAACUUGAGGUUACCGUUUCCUAGAACUCCCCAGACGAGGGAUAAUGGGUGCUGACGGAGUUUAUUCUUACAACUUAAAAUUUUUAGACCCAUUUACUUUGGGAGGUUCACGAAAUUGGUUCUUUUUCUGUCCAAAAAUGGUUACAGAUUGCAGUCCCAUCUGUUCCCACUUUGUGAUUUGUACUCGAUCGCUGCACUUCCAAGGACCCAUUUGAUACUAAACUGCCCGGAUUUAAGGGGGACUGACAGAAAAACAACGCAAAAAACAUUGAACUUGGAAAAGGACGCUGGCUACUUUAAACUUAGCGUUAAGCCGAAGCGAGAAGUAUUCGGCUCCACAUCAACUUUCAGUGGGGUGACCAACUCUGGGCCGAUCUACUAAGCACUAGGCCCAGAUGGCUUGCAUGGUGGAUUCUACCAAACAAUUAAGGAAGAAAUAAUACCAAUUCUACACAGACUUUCAGAAAAUUGAAUAAGAGGAAAUGCUGUCCAACUUGCUAUGAAGCCAACAUUGUCCUGAUCCAAAACCAGGCAAAGACAUUAUAAAAAAAAAAAAA